GCCUACCAGCUGGGCCGUCCCCUGAGAUGGGCCCCCUCCCCUGACCCCUGUCUACACUCAGCCAGAAGCUGAUUUGAGCUGGUCCCACAGUGCUGCCUGUGGGAACCCAAGCCCUUCCUGCUCCUAUCUGCCUCUGGCUGGAUGACGCCCCGGGCAAUUCCGCCCACUGUUUUGACCCCAGGCCCCAAACCUAGGUGAGGAACGCCCUCCUCACAGUCCUUCCCUGCUUCCAGUUCAGUGUUGACAGUGAGCAGUGCUCGCUUUGCUAUGGCUAGGCCCUCACUCUCCUCUCUUUUCAAGGCCCCAAGAGAGUAAGCCAUUUAUUCACACCCUAUCUUGACAGCAAAGCCGGGGCCUUGAACCUGGGGCACUGCUUUCAGCCAUUAUUCUUGCAGAGGCCCCAGAGCUCCCAGCCUGCAUUUUUGGAGUCUGAGCAGGGCCCACAGCUGUUUUGCUUCAGCUAGGAGUGAAGGCUGACAAAGAGCAAGGUCUCUGGAGAAGGAGGAAAUGUUUUCUGGAUGCCAAACUGGUGACUGUGGGGAGGUGUGGGGCAGCGGGGAGGGAGGAGCUCUCACUUGUGCCUAGGGAAAGGUCAUGGUCAAUGAGAAAGCCUUUGAUGGGGAGAGUCUGAGAUGGGACCCAGGAACAUCACCAUGAAGCUGUCCAGGAUGGAUGUGGGACCCUCUGUCAGACCAGGCCAGUUCUCUUAAUGUAAGAUCAGCAGGCCAAGGUCCUGGGAUAUGGGAGCUCCCAGGAAGUGGACUGGGAUGCCUGAGGGAUCCAAGAAUUAGCAGUGUCCUGUGUGGUCUCGCUGAGGGAAGCCAGGCAAAAUCUAGCGGCUCAGCUGUAACAGCCGGAGCUCUUGGCUCCCAAGCAACAGGAAACAAUUCUGGCUUAUUUAAGCAGAAAAGGACUUUAUCAAAAGGAUCUUGGGGAACUCACAAAAUAACCAAGAGGGCUGAAGAAUACAGUUGGUGAGUCGACCAAGGAGGCUGCACAGCAGUCAGGACCACAGCCAAAGUCAGGCAAUCCAGGGAUGACCUCGCUGCCAAAUCCAGGACUCCCUGGCAUACACUGCCACCUUGGGACGUGGAUAUGGUCCCUGUCGCCCCAGGAACUGGAAUGCCAUUGACUUGGCGACUGCCACCAUCCACCAGAAUGGACUUCUGUGCUCCUUGCAUCUCUGUAUUAUUAGUUCCCAACUCCAAGCCUUUGAUGGGGGCAUCUGAUGGAUUGAGCCUAAGUUGUUGGAGCCCAAUGAAAAAUUCUACAUUGAAGACUAAGGGAAAAAGAGGUUUCAUUAUAGAGCUGGGACUGAUUGCAUUUUCAAAAGGUGGCUGCAACAAUAUCCCACACACUUUUCUGCUGUAUAAUCUGCCACUUCUCCAUCAAGUAGAGGAGACAAUUUCUCCCCUCCUUUGAAUCUGAGUGAGUUCUGUGACUGUUUUGACUGAUAGAAUGAUGUGGAAGACAGACUGUGUGACCUGAAAGGUGAGGUCACAGAAAGCCUUGCAACUUCCACCUGGCCUGUGAAGAACACUUGCUCUUGGGAUACUCCUUCUUGGAACCCAGCCACCAUGCUGUAAGAAGCCCAAUCUACAUGCAGACACCACAUAUAAGGCAUCGUAGUCAACAGCCACAGUUAAGUUCCCAGCCGGCAGCCAACAUCAACUACCAGUCUUGUGAGUGAGCUAUCUUGGACAUCCAGCUUGGUUAAACCUUCAGAUGACUCCAGCCCCAGCUGACACCUGACUGCAACCACAUGAGAAACCAGGAAUGAAAAUCCACCAGCUGAGCCCAGUCAACUCAUAGAACUGUGAGAGAUAAUAAUAAGUUGUGGUACUAAGCCACUAGGAUUGGGGCACCAUGCAAUAAUAGGUAACCAAGACAGUAGCAACUUUGGUUAGACACAUGAGCCAUGGGAUGACACAUAAUUAGGUAUAUUUUUAAAAACUUGGAUUCAGCUUUAGGGCAAUGUGUCCCUAACAUAGAGAGGCACUAUUUCAGUUCACAUCUGCUGCCUCUGAUCAAAACACUCUCUUGCACUUCCAGAGAGAGAGAGAGAGAGAGCAAAUGUGUGUAUUUACUGACAGGUGUCCCUUUGUGUCCCCAUCUGUGUGACUGUGGAGCUCAGUGUCUCUCACACAUUCUAGUAUGAUACUUGGUGCCAUAUUUGCAGGUCCUGAGGUAAGAACCCAUGCUGUUGUCUUCAGAGAGUUUCAUGGGUUGGACUGUGCCAUAUAUGGGCAAAAAUCCACCCACACGUUUUCUUUUAAUCACCUUUAUGGAUGUAUAAUUUACAUAUAUACUUUUUUCUUAUUACUUUUUAUUUAUGUAAUUUAUUCAUUUUUUGAGAUAGGGUCUCACUCUCUUGCCCAGGCUGGAGUGCAGUGGAGUGAUCAUGGCUCACUGCAGCCUUGACCUCCUGGGCUUAAGCAAUCCUCCCACUUCAGCCACCUGAGUAGCUGGGACCACAGGCACACACCACCACUCCUGGCUAAUUUAAAAAGUUGUUUUUUUUUUUUUUUUUGUAGAGACAGGGUCUCACUAUGUUGUCAAGGCUGGUCUCAAACUCCUGGGCUCAAGCGAUCCUAGUGCCUCAGCCUUCCAAAGUUCCGGGAUUACAAGCAUGAGCCACCAUGCCUGGCAUCUUUUGUGGAUGUGUAAUUUACAUACGUACAAUAAUAUGUACCUAUUUUAAGUAUACAGUUUGAUGAGCUUUGACGAAUGUAGCCCACGAAACCACCACCAUAAUCGAAGUAUAGAACUUUUUUUUUUUUUUUUUUUGAGACGAAGUCUCUCUCUUGUCACCCAGGCUGGAGUGCAAUGGCAUGAUCCCGGCUCACUGAAACUUCCGCCUCCCAGGUUCAAGCGAUUCUCCUGCCUCAGCCUCCUGAGUAGCUGGGAUUACAGGCACCUGCCACCACGCCCAGCUAAUUUUUGUAUUUUUAGUAGAGACAGGGUUUCACCAUGCUGGCCAGGCUGGUCUCGAGCUCCUGACCUCAGGUGAUCCCCCCUCCUCGGCCUCCCAAAGUGCUGGGAUUACAGGCAUGAGCCACUGCGCCCGGCCUAUAGAACAUUUUAAUCACCCCAGAGAUGUGCCCCCUGUGCAGCCAGUUCCCUCCUCUCACCCCCCAGCCCCUGGCAAGCAUUGAUUUGCUUUGCCACUAUCAAUCAAUUUUUGUCUUUUCUGGUAUUUCAUAUGAAUGGAAUCAUAUAGGAUAGAUUUUUAUGUGACUACACACUAUUUUAGCAUAAUAUUUUUGAAGUUCUUCCAUGUUGUUGUGUAUAUCUAUAGUUAAUUUCUUUUUCUCACUGAAUUGUAUACCACUGUAUGAUGUAUCACAAUUUGUUUAUUCAUUCUCCCGUUGCUGGACAUUUGGACUGUUUAUUGUUUGGGGCUACUAUGAAUAAAACUGCUAUGGAUGUUUAUGUACAAGA
rnacentral:lncRNA from 1 species